CAUUCGAUACAAUUCCACUGCAAAUUUAUUAAAUUUACACAAAAAUAAAAACAAUUCUAAAUGAAUAACUUUCAACUAUCUUGAUUUAAACUAAUCGUUAAAUGAAAUCCGAAUAUAAUACAAUCGAAAGAUUUAAACACACUUCGAAAAUCUACUAACGACUAAACUAUCACACCAACGCGCGUUACGAACGAAAAAAGAGCCCUGAUAUCCUCUGACAACGGCUUAUAUGUCGUUUGAGUCUCUCCUACCCUCUCAUAUUCCUACAUUGAUUCUCUUCUACCCUCUCAUAUUCCUACACGGCCUUUCCUGACAUAAGCACGUCCCCGGGCUCCUUUGUGUUUAACUUUCUUGACGUCCAAAACGUAGUAUUAGCACCAAGGGCAGGAAAUUCUUUUCAUUCGCACUAGAAGUAUUCAGUUUUGAAUGUCUUGACAUUCCAGACGGGCUUGAUUGCGGCUCAGUCCCCUCCACAGGCAGGUCAACCUCCGGAGGCAAGUUGGCGUCAUGACACAACUCUUCUCCCUCAUUGUCUACGUCUGAAAUUGAGAAAUAUAACGGCAGAAAUCUUUUCGAUUUUUGAUUUAACUCAACAGUAACAUCAUGGUUAACGUCAAUGUAAAGUGAGCUAAACAAACAUAGCCCACACAAAGUGGUUGUAAAACAUCCCAAUAACCAACCACUUGGGGCGGGACUUGUCGGAAGAUCGCCCCCUCACACCUCGUCAGAGACCCACAAGGAAUUGCUUGAGGCAUGACUUGGUGUGUGUGUGAAGGUUAUUAUAAAAACAUAUUCCAAAACAUACCAUCUGAUACAGGCAAUGUUGGCCGACCAACAUUCCAUAAAUAAACUCAUGAUCUUUUACAACCACAGCUCGAUAGACAACUCACUAUCAAAGUCAAGCUUCCGAACAUACUAAAUUAAUUCCUAACCAAGAGACCAGAACCUCAGGAUAACGUAUCCGAUGCACUCCAAGAUAAACAAUUAUCCCAGGCCUAUGGUCCCUCCUGGGAUAACCGAACCCGAUGCACUCCAAGGUAAACGGCUAUCCCAGGCUCAACGUACCUCUUAGGAUAACCGGCCCGAUGCACUCCAAGGCAAAUGGUUAUCCCAACCUAAGCGUCCCCCCCUCCGGGAUAACCGGCCCGAUGCACUCCAAGGCAAUCGGUUAUCCCAGACACAACACCACUUCUAGGACAACCGGGCCCGAUGCACUCCAAGGCAAACGGUUGUCCCAGGCACAGCGCCACUUCUGGCAUAGCCUGUCCGAUGCACUCCAAGACAGCUAUCCCAGACCCAGAGAUCUAACCUCUAAUACAGCGUGUCCGAUACACUCCAAGACAAACGCUCACAUCGUAACAAGAAACUCAUGUCUCCUCGCUUUAACCCCAAUACAUUUAGAGAUUUGUGUCAAAACAAAAUUAAAAUAAAUAACACAAUGGGAUUAAGUUUCAAUAAAAUCUCAAAAGGAGUUUUAGUCAAAAUUUCAGGCAGAAUAAGGCAAAUACCUCACCAUCAAAGAAAGCAGAACACACAUCGGGAGUCCAUUCUCACUUCCACGGGACCAUAUAUUCCGCAGCUGCUCGAGUCGAUUUGCCGUAUGAGCCAGCUAACAUCUGCAGCUCAUAUCGGCAGUGUGAUAGUGUCUUCAUAAUCCGGUAUGGUCCCCGCAUACAUGAGUCCAGCUUCCUUGUUGACUGAGCCACCUUGGUAACAAAAAUUAAGGAAUUUAGUUCAAAAGAGUGAGCUGUUUACGUCUUUAGUUAGCAUAGGCAUCUUGACGAGUUUAGUUGGCACGAAGGAGUUUAGAUGCCCUCUGACGACUCAUUUGACGAAGGACUUCUCGAUUACCACUUGAGCCUUCAACAGUAACGUCUCGUAUCAAACUACGUAUGAGCGGUGUGGCAGCUUCAGCACCUAUAAGCAGGUUUAAAGCAGAAUAUUGAGUUGUCUUGCGUUUUGUUAUGUUUAGGAUCAGCUGUAACCUCAACAAAACAGCUGGCCAAGUCCUUGACCCAAUUAAUAAAAUCAGUGCUUUGAAACAUUGAAACAUGCGUCCCCGAUCAGUGACAAUUAAUUUUGGAGUUCCAAAGAGAGACACCAUGGUAGUGAAGUGUUGCUUUAGUUCGUCAGUGUCUUGUCGGAACAUGGGAUACAAUAAACAAAAUUUUGAAAACGCGUCUAUAAUAAUAAGUACAUGACGGUGACCGUCAGUUUCUGGUAGGGGGCCCAAGGUGUCCAUAUGGACUGCCUCAAAUGCUACGUCUGGUUUUCUCCCAUGAAUGAAUGAGCCGUGAAAGAGCACGAGCUACCUUUUUAUGAGAAAGGCAAACCAAACAAUGGGAAAUGUAUUUUUUUUCUUUGCAAAUGUUCUCAACCCUGGGAACUAAAAGUGUUUUGUUAUCAAGUCUACAGUUUUAUCAACCCCUUGAUGAUCAUGUUCGUCGUGAAAAUACACAUAAGACAGUCUAUGGCCUUUUGGAAUAUAACAACAAAAAUUAGGAUUUUCACCAAUAGGUGAGAGCUUGACUUAAAGGAUGUCAUAACGACUGAGGUUUAACUGCCCAUUCACCAGUUUUUGUUUUAGAGAGUGAGUUUUCUCGUCAGAAGCCUGAGCAACUUGCGCCCAAUUUAGCGGUCUUUUAAUGGUUAGAAUCGAAUUCUUGGAGGUAUACCCACCACCGAGCCACCCUUGGCAACAAGUCUUUCUUACGUUGGGUAAGUUUUAACGCGUUACAGUCAGUAACCACGAUGAAGUGUGCAACCACAAGAUAAUGCCUGAAAUACUCUAAUACCUCAAUCACUGCCAGCGUCUUCAGUUCGUACGAGUGCUACUUCCUCUCAGCCCCCUGAGUGAGUCUACUACAAUAAGGCAGUACUCGUUUACGAUUUCCCUUAUGCACCCUCAUCAUGACGACUCCGUAACCAAUCGAGCUCGCAUCUGUGUAGUAUUUCUAUUGGCAGCGUAGGAUCAUAAAUGGCGAGUACUGGCUCACUUGUAAGACAAUCUAUGAUGUAGUCACGAGCGGCCUGUUUUUCAGCACCUCAAUGAAAGUUAAUUUUUAGUAAGUGCCGCUAUGCAAGCAGCCCUUUGGGCAAACCCAACUAUAUACCGCCUAAAAUAGCUAGCUAACCCCAGAAAUUGCCUUACUUGCUUAAGAUUUUUUUUUGUUCGGCUGAAUCAAUUAAGGCCCGCACUUUCUGACGACUUGGCCUAUCCUGACCUUUACUAAUCGUACGACCCAGGUAUUCAAUAGUGGUAGCUAAAAACGAGCAUUCCUUUAUUAUUUGCUUUUCAAGCAAAUCUGUUAUUAUGUCACGACCACGGAUCGUUUCAGCGUGUGAGAGUUGAUAUGACCGAUUAUACACAGGAAUGCUGGAUUUAAGUUUAAUUGACAUGCUACCUAUGUUUACGGUUGAUGUAGCAGUUCCCGUAAUCAAGUACCGAGAGAAUUCAUUAAUUAUCCUCUUAGUAACCCUCUCUAAAUAGUUACAUACCAGAGGUGUAUCAAUUGUCAUCGAAACAUCAGACUGAACAAUCAUCACCAUUAAUUCAUAAAAUAUGUGCAUGAUUCGAGCCUAGAUAACUUAACGCCCUCACUAUUUGAUAAACUCCCUGAUAACCGUUCGAUUUUGGGUCUCUUACUACACAAAGCUUCUUUUUGCCCCAACUGCCCACAGAAAAAGCACCUGAUAUCACUCAGAUUACGUUUACGUGAAUACUCCAGAGAUCGUCUAUCUGUCGUAACGUUUCACAAUUCCGAACGCGAGUAUAGUUGUCUCGAAACACUAAUUGUAUUUGGUUUAACAUAGAUUGAAAAGAAUUCGACUAAAUCAUUCGGAAAUAGUUUAGCAUUUGUCGCCGUAGCCCUAAUAUUUGGAUCAAUGACACUGCGAAUAAUUAUAACCGAAAUAAGCUCCUCAUCGAGUCCUUGCACUAUACGUAAGCAAAGUAUCGACCGGCGUACAUAUUACGCGUACGUUGGAUAGUGAUCGGAAUUCUUAGACAUAACUUCAAACAAUAUUCCAGCAAAAUCUGGUACUUCAGGACAUAAAGGUUUGAAUUCUUUCUUAGAAUUGGUCCAACUACGGUAGCUAGACACCCAUUUAUUGAGCCAAGAUUUCGCAUCCCCUAACAAACAAUUUCCUAUUCGUGAAAGGCAUUCUAAAUCAUUCCAAUUGUUUAAAACUUUCGCGCAAUCAAUUUGUAUGCACUAAUCGUCAAAAUUGUGUAGAUUUGGGUCAAAGUUCGAAAUAUAGUAAUACCGAGAUUUUUCAGCCGUACUAAUUGAUAUGAUGGCACUAGCAAUGCAAUCGGUAACACUCGCCUGUACUAAUUCCAACGGUAUACCCGCGUCGCCUACUUGUCGUGAUCGAGCGAGGUCUCGGAUCCUGAUGAUGAUAACAUUCUGAAUGGUAGCUUCACGUCAAGUCACAUGCGUCGGAGAAACCAGAUGCCCUAUCGACGAUAAUUCACGCAUUCUAUAGGGUACACGACGAUCGGAAACGCGAGAUAUAUCGCGGACGCGCGUUGGUGUCUGCAACUGUCGUGAUGACUGCCUAUUACAAACGCUACCGGGCGUCAAACCUUUGUAACGCAAUUCCUCAUAGUCGUGUGAAUUCACCGACGCGCGGUGCGGCAUGGACGAAGCCCUUGUUUUCGCCUCUAACGUUUUAAGACGAGACAUCAUUGCCUCCAUAUCAAGUCUCAACAUGUUAUUCUCAUCAAAGGAUUGCUCACGGGAACUAUUGCCCUGACUCUAGCUACGAUCACGACGAGGAUUACUAUCAAGACCACUGCGGCUACAAUUGCGUUCACGUCCAGACAUUUUAGUAACAAAAUAAAAUAAUUAAAUAAGUAUGAUCGCAAGAAAUUAACGUAUCAACAAACUAACGCAAUAAAAGCUUACUCACAGCUUAAUCAAAGUAAUUAACACAAAUUAAUAUUCUCGAUAAUAACGUAACACGAUAUUUAAAAUAACUCAGUGUCUAAAAAAAAGUUAUAAUGAAAUAUUUAAUAAAACACAAAAAAAAAUAAUGUGUGGGUAAAUUGAAAUAACAAGGCCUUACCAAACGGGGUUCUCAAGGUACGUAUCGCACUUCUGAUCUUAGAAACAAGGUAAGAAUUGACUUUUUAAAAAAAUAACAUUCGAUACAAUUCCACUGCAAAUUUAUUAAAUUUACACAAAAAUAAAAACAAUUCUAAAUGAAUAACUUUCAACUAUCUUGAUUUAAACUAAUCGUUAAAUGAAAUCCGAAUAUAAUACAAUCGAAAGAUUUAAACACACUUCGAAAAUCUACUAACGACUAAACUAUCACACCAACGCGCGUUACGAACGAAAAAAGAGCCCUGAUAUCCUCUGACAACGGCUUAUAUGUCGUUUGAGUCUCUCCUACCCUCUCAUAUUCCUACAUUGAUUCUCUUCUACCCUCUCAUAUUCCUACAAUAUAUAUAUAUGUGUGAUGUUAAAGAUGCUGAUGACAUCUGAUAGAAAUUAAAUAAAUAAGUAUAAAAAAUCACAAGUUUAAUAUUCCUAUUUUAUAAAAUCAUCAUCACAAUAAAAAUAUUAUCAAUUAAUUAAUUAUUCACAAUUAAAAACAUUAGUAAUAUAUUAACAAAUUAAGCACAAAAUGUCCUCGGGGGAGGCAGCUCAGGAAUAAAACCCAGUUUAAACUCGGCACUUUCAUAAGCAUUAACAUCGGCUUCGGAUAAAAGCUCUAGUUCACUGUAAACACUGCUAUCCUCAUGGUUAGUUUGAUCAAAUGUUACACCAAAAGGAUUGGAUGGUGGCCGUUGAGAAAUAUGAAACACACUACUGCUGCCAAAUGGUUGGCUUUGUUGGUGAGAGGGCGCCUGGGAUAUGUUUUGAUUAACACCCCUGUCAAAAAUAUUAGCUGCUACAGGGGUCGGAUUAAAGUUGGU